CCUACGGGAGGCAGCAGUGGGGAAUAUUGGGCAAUGGGCGCAAGCCUGACCCAGCAACGCCGCGUGAAGGAAGAAGGCUUUCGGGUUGUAAACUUCUUUUCUCAGGGACGAAGCAAGUGACGGUACCUGAUGAAUAAGCCACGGCUAACUACGUGCCAGCAACCGCGGUAAUACGUAGGUGGCAAGCGUUAUCCGGAUUUACUGGGUGUAAAGGGCGUGUAGGCGGGAAAGCAAGUCAGAUGUGAAAACCAUGGGCUCAACCUGUGGCCUGCAUUUGAAACUGUUUUGCUUGAGUACUGGAGAGGCAGACGGAAUUCCUAGUGUAGCGGUGAAAUGCGUAGAUAUUAGGAGGAACACCAGUGGCGAAGGCGGUCUGCUGGACAGCAACUGACGCUGAGGCGCGAAAGCGUGGGGAGCAAACAGGAUUAGAUACCCGUGUAGUC
rnacentral:rRNA from 1 species